CGUUUACACAACUUUUGUUGAUGUGAAUAUAAACAUCAUCCAUCGAGUGAUGAUGUACUAACAAUAACUUAAUGGCUUCUGAUGGGCAAGGUACGAGUAGCCAAAUAAAAAGGUGUCAGUGGUCAAGAGGCGUUCUUCGUUAAAUCCGUCGAUUCAUGAAUAAAUGGAUAAAUGGAAUGGAGGAGGCUUUACAGUUUACUUCACUGUCAAACUGGGUUAAGUGACAUCAAUUACAACUCUGAUGAACUUUAAAGUUUGUUAUUCACCACAACAAUUAAGUAAACAUAGUGUAGUUGUUAUCAUGUUGAAAUAAUUUCCGUUUUGUUUCAGAGAUUAUCAUAAUUAUACACAAGUGGAAUGGGGAUGUGGAAAUUACUUGAAAAAAAAUGUUGAUUCAUUCAAAAAUAUAAACACCACUUAUUGACGUUGGCUUUGCAAUUUUUUGUUUUGAAAUAUUUUGAUAU